rnacentral:lncRNA from 1 species
AAAAGAAAGCCCGACAUCGGGGUGUCACUAGUCAUGAGCAUCUUUUACAACUGUCUAACAACAUUAAGGCCAAUAUGGCAGAGAAAAUCACAAGAAUACACUAAGGGAGAACAAGGAGGGAGAAAAAAAAGGCUGCAAUCGCCAGGCAGCUACCUUACUAACUCUGAUGAACCUGCCACCGAGCUUAGAAAUACCUGAAUCUGCACAGAAGGUCCAGAGAGUAAUGUGAGUACGCCAACUCAGUAAGUAAUAAAAGUAAAUAAAGACUGAGCAGUAAGAAAUCGCGUAAACCAUGUCAUGGAACCACAGUGGGUACAAUAUGUUUCCAAAACAAGAUACAAUUUAGAUCAUCUCGUUAAACUCCAAUUUCGGUAAAAUCCUUGAAAAAGGUCUUUCUAAUAGUUUCAGCAGAGGUUCAGUGUAAUUUAUAGUGAAAUUGAUGAAAAUCAUAAUCGACCCCUCAGGCAAAACAUAGAUCGUAUACAGUUUCCUCGAGCAAAUAGAAAUUCAUAAACGUCUCAAAACUUAAAAAUCUCACUGGAAGUAACAAAGCCAAAUCAGUGAUUAAAUUCCGAACACCUCGUAAAAACUCCAGUUUAAAUGAAAGUUGUUUAAAAUAUUUAUUUAACAUUUUCAAUAUAUGCUCAGAAUAAAGAUGAGUGAGAUCAGUAAUUUAAUCAACAUAUUUAAUAGAGACUCACUUUAAGGAGGAGUGGAAAAUAGUAAUUUAAUAAACAAGCUCCUCAGGCAAAGCAUCACUCGUAUAUGUGUAUAUAUAUAGCCCCUCAAUCAGCCUCUCUGUCACUCAUGACUCAACUCUCAUCAAUCAGUGCUCACACUCAGCACUCACACUCAAUAGGUACCAUAUAAUAACCACUACGGCGUGUAGCCCUAUCCAUAUAUCGCUGCAGCGUGCAGCCCGAUCCAUAUCUAUAGUCGACUGCGCUCACUGGGGGUGUGCAGACUCCGGAGGGGCUCUNNNNNNNNNNNNNNNNNNNNNNNNNNNNNNNNNNNNNNNNNNNNNNNNNNNNNNNNNNNNNNNNNNNNNNNNNNNNNNNNNNNNNNNNNNNNNNNNNNNNNNNNNNNNNNNNNNNNNNNNNNNNNNNNNNNNNNNNNNNNNNNNNNNNNNNNNNNNNNNNNNNNNNNNNNNNNNNNNNNNNNNNNNNNNNNNNNNNNNNNNNNNNNNNNNNNNNNNNNNNCGUUGCGGCGUGCAGCCCUAUCCAUAAAUAUAUAAUCCUCACAACAGGACCUCGACCUCUCUCAGUCAUCAACCUCACAAUUAGACCCUCGGUCUCUCUCUCUCAGACAUCAACUUUACAAGCUACUCGGACUAUGAGUAAAACAGGGCGUUCAGCUAAAAAUAUCAUUUAUAGUAUCAAAACUGAGUAAAUAAGGCUGAGUUAUGAAAUCAGUAAAACACAACAUAACUGAGUACAAUUAUUAAGUCAAAACAGUGAGGAAUAGUAGUAAAAAAAGCACCAUAAGGGUCCAAAACAGUUGGCACGAGGCCCAAAUAUGGUAUUCUUCCCAAAACAUCGCAAUACUUUCCAAAACACAAUGAUAUCAAAUAGUUUUCAAUCAAAUACACAACUUAACAAUCGUAUGGGAUGGACCAGGUCACAAUCCCCAACGGUGCACAAUCCCCAACGGUGCACAACCCCACGCUCGUCAUCUAGUGUGUGCGUCAUCUCAAAGUAGCACAACAGUGUGAAAUCCGGGGUUUCAUACCAUCAGGACAACAUUUACAAUCAUUACUUACCUCAAUCUAGUCCAAACUCUAGCCCGCGAUGCCUUUGCCCCUUGAAUCGGCCUUCAAUUGCUCCAAAUCUAACAAAAAUCAGAUUCAUACCAUCAAAGUAUGCUAAAGGAACAAAGUCCACUCGAAAGUAACCAAGUUACUUCAAAAAUUCCGAAAUUGGCAAAACCUAACCCCCGGGCUCACGUCCCGGUAUUCGAUAAAAAUCACAUCAAUAGAAUCCUUAUCCUCUCACGAGUCUAUAUAUACCAAAAUCAUCAAAAUCCGACAUCAAAUACCCCUUCAAAUCCCCAAAAUCAUCUCUCAAAUUAUCUUCCACUUUUCCCCAAUUGCACCUCAAAUUUCCUGGAAUUUGACAAAAAAUAAGUGAAGAACACUUACCCCAAUCAAUCCUCUAAAAAUCCCUCCAAAAUUGCCUUCUCCCGAGCUAUCUAAUGAAAAUUUGAAAUUAUGGACCAAAACCCUCGUUUUAGAACUUAAUAUUCUGCCCAGAUAUUUUUCUUCAUCGCGAACGGCAGUACCCUCGCAUUCGCGAAGUACAAAGCUUCACUGACCAAAAUUCUCUUCUUUGCAAACGCGAGGGUCCACCCGCGAACACGAAGACCACACAGCUCGACCCUAUGCGAACGCGAUUCCCUAGUCGCGAACACGUAGCUUGAUCUCCUGAACUUUUGCAAACGUGGGGCCUUCAUAGUGAACGUGAAGAACAAAUGUACAGACUCACUCAACAACCCUUCGCGAACGCGAAGAAGGAUUUUCUGCAACAAAAACACCAGCAAAUUCUGCCAACUUUCAAAACCAAUAAUUGAUCCGUUAACCACCCGAAACUCACCCGAGACACUCAAGACCUCAACCAAACUUUCCAACACAUCCUAUAACAUCAUUAAAACUUGUUCCAACCUUUGGACGCUAAAAACAACAUCAAAACAUCAAAUCACCCUCGGAUUCAAGCCUAAGAAUUCCAAAACUUCCAAAUCCCGCUUUCGAUCAAAAAGUCUAUCAAACCUCGUCCGAAUGACCUAAUAUUUUGAACACAUGUCACAAAUGACACAACGGACCUGCUUCAAUUUCCGGAACUCCAUUCUAACCCUGAUAUCAAAAUUUUCACUACCAACCGGAAAAUGCCAAAUUUUCAAUUUCGCCAAUUCAAGCCUAAACCUUCCACAUACUUCCAAAAUACAUUCCGAUCACGCUCCUAAUUCCCAAAUCACCUAACGGAGCUAACCAUAUCAUAAAAAUCCAAAUCCAAGAUCACAUACUAACAAGUCAAAACACGGUCAAAUCUUUCAAAUUUAAAGCUUCAAAUUGAGAAUUGUUCUUCCAAAUCUGUUCCGAUUAUCCUGAAAACCAAAACCGACGAUUCACAUAAGUCGUAAUGCAUCAUAGGAGACUAGUCUUGCCCAAGAACUGGUGAGCAAAGUGCAAAUGCUCAAAAUGGCCGGUCGGGUCGUUACAUCCUCCCCCACUUAAACAUACGUUCGUCCUCGAACAUGCCCAGAGUUGUUCCAAACACCAACAAAUCACUGUAUAAUCUUACCAUGCAGAUACUCGGGGGUGAUCCCACAUCACCCUAUCCUAUAUAGGUCUGAUAAUGUAACAUAACUGAAAUUUCGCAAUCCAACCAAAUCCAUGAACCUUUGAACCAAAUCUCUAGUUCCAUACUUAUCUAUAAUAUCAAAAUCUCACAUCUAUACACUGAAUAAGUUCGAACUAGCUGUAACGAACCAUACCUGCAACCUCAGAUACAAUUAAUGAUAUACCACAUAACUCUAACACUCGUAGCAAUAACUUCUAAUCACAACAGUUGCUCAAAACAACCGAAUAUCGAUAAUAAACCUUUUAUCAAAUAAAGCUUCGUUCUAACACUUCCGUAUAGUGCCAAUGAUGAAUAAAACACACAGAAAGUAAUAACCAUUCCUCAGAUCAACCAUUCAUGAAGCUCCCUCUCCCUUGGCAAGGACCAUAGUAAUUUCUAAGUCGAAUUUCGAUAUUAUAGUUCCAACAUGCUAAAAUCGAAUCCGAUAGUAUUCAUUCUAGGUCCCAAUGACCUCAUCUCAUCUAACAUGACCACUCUAGUGACAUGACACAUCAAUACAAUCUAAAGCCUCAACCCGUGCACCAAUAAGCAAUAGUCCAAAUGUACUCAAAUCAUGAAAAGUGAAUCAAAUGAGAGAUAUGUACCGCAGGCUCACCAGUACCACCACAACACAAUGUUGAGAAACCAUCACACAUCGUAGAACCAGAACAUAUGAAUCUAAUAGGGUGAUUUCGUCCUUGAAGGCCCAGCGUAUGGUAGGGAAGGAUUGUCUUUAAUAUUUAGUCUUUGUGAGGGAUGUCGGUACAGAGACUCCUAGUAUUAAUUCUGUUCCUGUUGUGAAGGAUUUUCCAGGUGUGUUUCCUGUAGACCUGCAAUUGAUACCCAAUUUUUCCUCAAACUCUUUUUUAAUUUUGCAUAUAUGCCUUCAAAAUCACUUUUUUUAAUAAUUGGUAUUUGUCACACCUCCUCUUUCCUACACCCCAGAAGGGUAUAAGGAGUCUUUUCCAAUUUAAGUGACAAUCGAAACGGGAUUAAUUAUUAGAAUUCAGAGUCGCUACUUGGGAUAAUUUAUGGUGUCCCAAGUCACCGGUUCAAAUCCCGAAUCGAGGAAAGAUUGACUAUGUUUUAUAGUCCGCGAACACAGAAAUUCUGUUAACCCAGGAGAAGGUGUUAGGCAUUCCCGAGUUCUGUAGUUCUAGCACGAUCGUUCAACAAUUAUAAUUGACCUAUUAUCUGAUUCUAAUACAUGUUUUAACCUAUGGUACAACUUUAACUUUAUAACCGCUUUUAUUUAAUAUUUUUUUAGGAAGAUUUUAAGGUUAUUUAAAACACGUCUUGAACCACGUCACAUAAAUGCACCCGCGGUCCCCGCCAUAUUUUAUCUAACAUUAUUGAGAUUUGGAUUUGGGUCACAUAAAUGCACACUCGAGUUUAGGAAGGUAAUAUUUAAAAUUGCGCGCCUAAAGCAACUACGCAUCUUCAAGUUUGCGAGGGCCAUGAAAAUUCAACUAAAUGAGACGCCUCGAUUUUUAAGGAUUAAAAUUAAUUAAGUGAGGGCCAUGAGUUUUGGGAUUUUAUUGUUGAGGAAAAUGGAUAGGUUUAAUCACUAGAAAUUAUCUACAACUUUGAAAUUCUUACUAUUCUGUAUGUUUACAAGAUUCAGCCCAACCGGUCAUUUAUGGACUUUGGGCCAAUUGUUGUUAAAGUUGAAGCAUCAUUUUAAUUCUCAGAUUCAUGACCAUCCUCCUUCAAAUAAUUCAAAAGCUAAUCUCCAAAGAUAAUACUACUUAAUAGAGAACAAUCGCUAAUGAACUAAUUUAUUUACUCAAUUUAUCCUUAUCAAUCAGUUAAAAUAAUACAUAAAGAAAACUCAAAUAACAUCAUACUCACAUCCAUUUCUACAAAAUUUAUAAAUAAAUAAUAAUAAAAGGUAAAGAAAAGCACACUCUGAUGUUCCCCCAAUUUCACAACAAAUUCUUCAUAUUUAUCAAAGCUUAUCGUUAAAGCUUGCACAAACAUAUGGUAGGAAACGCACAUUGAUUGACUUAAUUUAAUUUAGAAAAUAUCACUUUAAAGCUUCAGGUUCAUUUAACUUCAAGUAAAGAGCAAACUCGAACAAGAAAAUAAGCAGACAAAUGCUACAAGAUUAUGACACAACUUCUAUAUAUAAAAAUAAUUACACCAGAUCUUGGGAAGGGAAAGUACCUAGAUGACAAAAAUUUGAGCUAAAGCAGCUACGUAAAGAUGAAGGAAAGCUGGGGCUCAGCGAUGAAGCAAACAACGGCAACAACGAAUCUGCCCGGAAAACUCAGAGUAUGACCUUCAAUGAACUCGGAACUCGCCAGAAAAUUCAAAUUAGACCAAAAAAACUCAUCAUAAUUUGGACCUCUCACUUUUCAUUUCAACUCAUUUUUUAGACUUUAUGCUAUGUAUUUUGUUUCUAUUUUUUUUUUCUGAUCUUUGAAGUAAAGAUAAAGAAAAAGAAACUGAAGAAACUUGCUUAAUUGAGGAAGUGGUCGAUUCUUUUUGUUCCCUCUCGAUUGUUGUUCGUGUCUUUGUUAUAUAGUAAAGGUGUAUAUGAUAUAUAAUAAAAAUAAAACCUAUAAUGGAGGAAGUCUCAUUACUGCAUCAGAUUUUCAUGCUUUCAGUAACUUUCAAAAUAAAGUAAUUGGCUGCACUUGUCGUAUAUGGUAGCUUCUAUAGCUCAAGUAUUUUGAUUCCUCACUUCUCUUGUGUGUAAGUUGCGGCUAGGUUGGGGGUGUGAGGGAUCUACCGUUCUUGGGUUGGAGGAGGCAACAGGUUUUGGUGAAGGUCUGUAUCAGUGAUGAAAAUUGAGAAAAAGAAGGUAUCCAGCAGGAGCAGAAGUCGCAAAAAUGCGUCGUUUGCUCUCUAGGGGAAUGGUCUAUGAUCUGAUUUUUUUGUAUCUAAAUUGUAUUU